rnacentral:rRNA from 1 species
UACAGGGGGGGCAAGCGUUGUUCGGAAUUACUGGGCGUAAAGGGCCCGUAGGCGGCCAACUAAGUCACACGUGAAAUCCCCAGGCUUAACCUGGGAACUGCGUGUGAUACUGGAUGGCUUGAAUUCGGGAGAGGGAUGCAGAAUUCCAGGUGUAGCGGUGAAAUGCGUAGAUAUCUGGAGGAACACCGGUGGCGAAGGCGGCAUCCUGGACCGGCAUUGACGCUGAGGCGCGAAAGCCAGGGGAGCAAACGGG